rnacentral:tRNA from 1 species
CUCUCCUUAGCUCAGCUGGAAGAGGUAAGCCAUAGCCCAACUAUUCUACUGCACGAACGCCCAUACUAACAACCCUACCGCGUGAGACUGUAAUCGAUGUCAUUAAUCUCAAGGCCCGCGGUUCGAUCCCGCGAGGGGAGA